CCUCCUUCCUGCCGGGGAAGGGAAGUGCGUCGGUAGGGGAGGGCUCACCUCUCCAGGUUGAAACGAUGGCGGUCAGAACCGCCUGAGGUAAAAACGGGUGGCACUGGGGAAGCGGAGGCGUAGCUCCCGAGAGCCUCACACUUGUGCUCAGUGCCGCCUCACCCCUGGUGGAUCCGCGAUGGCCGCGGAUUCCCCUGGAUUGCCGGCGCUGGGCAGGAGCGCCACUUCUAAUCUCUCCCGAGACUGGACGCCCGGCGCCUUCCACGCGCGUUGUGUCUUUCCGGGCGGUCCCUCGAAGCUGGCUACCCCGCGGGCUGUUGACUGCAGUGGGAUCUGGUCACUCAGAUGCGGAUAGAGGGCUAAAUGCAAGAUGGUAUGGCAUCCAGACUCUGCUCAUAAGUAUCUGCAGUGAUCCAUACCUUGAUUGUACAUCUACUCUGCAUCCUGAGGACCUGAACAUGCUAACUGGUGGCUGCAGAUUUGUCUUCUAAGGAGCAAGUGUGGUCUGUGGACAGGCAGCUUCAGCCUCACCUGGGAUUUUGUUUGCACUAGAAAGUGCCAAGCCCUACCCUAGACCUAUUAAAGCAGAACUGGCGUUUAACAAGACACCCCAGAGUCACUGAAAACUAAGCUGUGUUUUCUUAAAAC
rnacentral:lncRNA from 10 species